UGGGCCAUUCACCAUGCCUUAUGUCACUUUCUAAUUUAGUCAGAUUAUUACUCCCCUAGGUGGCACUUCAUAUUUACUGAAGUGUUUCCACUUGCAUUACCCAACUUGAUUAAAAAAUUAUGUGGGUGGCAUGGGGUACCGCAGUUUCUUUAUUCCUGUAUGAGAUCAGCAUAAGGUGGAGCUCAGAAACAGAGUCCCGGAGAGACAAAAGCGCCACUUGAAACUGCUGAAAAUAUUGGAAGGGAUGUUGGGAACUCCCUGUACAUGAGACUGUAAUUUGACUCCAUUUAAAUUAUAUUUUCAAGAACAAGCUGAACCUGGCAAACGGGAGGACCUGCAGAGAUCCAAGCAGCUGACAUGUGGAUUACAUCUGGGUUACACAGAAACUCAAUUCUGAGCCAUCUGUUCCCUGAACAACUGGAUGAUACUGCUGAAAUUGGUCUAUUGGACAGUGGUUGCCAACUGUGCUCUAGGGGCAGCCCAAGAGGGAGAUAAGAGAGAGUUGAGGACACAAAAGAGGGUGAAGGAUAGAGAAGAUAUGACAAGCUGAAUGAUGGAAGAAGGAAUGAGCUGAAACAGAGCCACUGAGAAAGUCACUAUGGUGCAGAUGACAGAAGAAGCAUUAAAAAUAAGGAUGUCAAGCAAGAUGCCCAUUAUACUGUUUCAUUUCCUCUUCACACUGACUCGUUGCUUUCAGAAUUUAGCAGGACACAAAAAAGCAAAAGAUGGCUAUGUUCCCCAUCUUUAUUGAUAAGAGACAGAGAAGAAAACUCAUGAAAGCUAAUGCAGAGUGGAGAGGGAAAAUACAAGAAAUGCAGGAAUCCAAGCACGGAGCUACAGGUGAGGACUCUGUACUCCUCACCUUUCCUGUGAUGGGGAACCAGGCCAAGCUCUCAAAACCAUUAUAUGGAAGGGUGAUCCUGAGAGGAUGGAGUACGUGAUAAAAGCUCUAAAAGGAUCCUUUUCCCAAAACAAAACAGAUUAAUUGAUGUUAAUAACCCCACCCUUCUUGAAUCUCUCUUCAAAUGUUUAUAAAAACUUGUUGCAGUGCUGCCACCUAUGAGUCUGUGUUACUUUCCCACGAGUUUUGUGUUAUUCAGAUUUUAACCUGCUUAAAGUUUGCAUGCAGGUCUUAUUGGAUUGAAAUGUAAUGUAUUUUGUAUUUAGACUGACCUUGACUGGUUUUCAGAAGCCUCAGAAAAAUGUGUGUGUAGCAUCCUGGUUUACCCUGGACUUGGACUUCCAGCUACAUUUUGGAAGAUUUAGAGAAAGCAAUCACUGUUACCAUGUUUUUAGGAA